rnacentral:rRNA from 1 species
UACGGAGGGUGCGAGCGUUAAUCGGAAUUACUGGGCGUAAAGCGUGCGUAGGCGGUUUGAUAAGCCAGAUGUGAAAUCCCGGGGCUUAACCUCGGAACUGCAUUUCGAACUGGCAAACUAGAGUGUGAUAGAGGGUGGUAGAAUUUCAGGUGUAGCGGUGAAAUGCGUAGAGAUCUGAAGGAAUACCGGUGGCGAAGGCGGCCCCCUGGACAGAUACUGACACUCAGAUGCGAAAGCGUGGGUAGCGAAAGGG